rnacentral:tRNA from 1 species
GGGCCCGUAGCUCAGCGGGAGAGCGCCGCCCUUGCAAGGCGGAGGCCUCGGGUUCAAAACAGGUAUUAUAGAUUUAAUAUCUGUGAACUUCCCGACGGGUCCA